GAGACUUGGACAGGCAGAGCAAUUGCAGACUGUGGAGGGGGGGAAAAAUAAUAAAAGAGCGAGACCUAACCUUCACAUCUGGUUUCAUCAAAUGGAGAAAGAAGAAUGUUGUUCCUCAAAUGUCCUGCUCCCAGGCUAUUUAGAGAAGUGGUACACCAGUCCUUAACAUGCUUGUUCUCCUCCUUAUGUUCCACCUUGGAGAUUCACUGAGUUUCCCCCUUUCAUUAAAUUGUGAGAGUCCAGCUGAGAUCCUAGCUUUCUGAAGACAAGUGCUUAUGGGUUUUCCAGCAUCAGAUACGCUUCAGAUUUGCUGCCUACUUUCUCCCUUUCAUUUAUCUCCUUGUUGCUGGGUGUGCUUCCUUACUUUCAUCUAUCAAAGUAAUGACACAUCAUAUUUAUCAGGCCAGGAGCAAAAUCUCCGGAAAAAAGUAACUAAGUAUAAUUCUCAUUUAAUAGGGCAGAUCGGGCAUUCACUGUCCUCUGCUUCUCAAUAAAAGAAGACUUCUCCUGGUGAAUUUA